rnacentral:sRNA from 1 species
GGGUUAAAAGACCAGGUACUGGUUUGAGCAGCGUUCUUGGUAAAAUUGGAAAGAAACAAAAAAUUGGAACUUUGGAAAAAUCUCGUUUAGAUUGGAAUUCGUUUAAAUCGGAAGAGGGAAUAGAUGAAGAGUUGUCACAGUUUAACAAAGGAAAACAAGGUUACUUAGAGAAACAAGCUUUCUUGGAGAGGACGGAACACCGACAAUAUGAAAAGGAACGAGAUGUCAGACUUGGAUUCUCAAGCAGUAAACGAUGAUUUUAAUUGACUAAUCAGUAUGCGAUAGUAUCAGAUUGUUACAGUAGCGUAACUCCUUCAGUAUGGUGUCAGUCAUUUUCACUUUCCACUGCUUUGGUUUUAUGUAUGUCAUAUGAUAAUGCACAGUCAAACCGACACAUGUGUUAUCUGAAAAUUUGUUCUGAAAUGUUAUCAAGCUUGUUGUUAGUUUGAUGCACUGGUGUAAAACUGUUUUAGCUGAGCAAGAUUUUUGAAAUAACUAAAUAAAAAAAAUAAUAAAAAAAUUAACAUAUAUUUGCUACCUACCAGUAAUUAGCAAACUAUCUAAAUUGUUUGCAAAAAGUUUGGCGGGUACGCUGAAACAAAUGGUUUAGGUGAGCUUCAGAUUUAGGUGUCUAUCAUUAUCUGAGAAAGGGAAAGAGAACACUCAUAAAUAAGCAUAAUAAAAGCAUAUGGUGGCGUAUUAAUGUACACAAGCCUUGCCUCUUAUGCGAACUGAAACAAAUCCACAAUCACAAGGCGGGUUAAGGAAUUUGAGAAUUCAAAAGCUGAACUUUUAUUUAGUAGUUCUAUGCAGGUUUCUAGCUGCUAACAAAUCAGUGGGUUUUGCAUCUCAAAAAACAAGAAACGAUGUGAUUUCAUUGUUUUUGAGUGGCAGAAAUUGCUGAAAUGACAAUCGUAAAACGACCAGCUGGAUUAUUAACUCCUGCUAUCGCCAGACAUGGCUGAAAAGAGAAAUUGCAAUGAAAUAUGUAGUCUAUGUUUACUGUUCAUUUCACUAUAAACUGAAUUAUGACUUAUAAUUUUAUAAUCAAUGAAACCAAAUGGAUAUUCCUGUUUCUGAAAAAAUGGCACAAAAUACUUGUUCAUGCUUUGCACUGUACAGAGUCUAGACAGGGGCAUACCAAUUAUAGGAUAUGGUUGGAAGAUGCAACCAUACGUGAAGAUAGGAAUUAGUUUUGUUAAUAUUUAUUGUCAAAGUUGUUAAGACUAGCAGUUAUAUUGUCUUUGAGACAAACAAAGCAUGAUCUGACUGCUAAG